rnacentral:rRNA from 1 species
GGCGACGGGUGAGGAACACGUGAAGAAUCUGCCCUCCACUUUGGGAUAACACCGGGAAACCGGUGCUAAUACCGAAUAUUGAAACAUAAGUGGCAUCACUGAGUUUUGAAAGAAUUUCGGUGGAAGAUGACUUCGCGGCCUAUCAGCUUGUUGGUGAGGUAACGGCUCACCAAGGCGACGACGGGUAGCCGGCCUGAGAGGGCGACCGGCCACACUGGGACUGAGACACGGCCCACACUCCUACGGGAGGCAGCAGUGGGGAAUAUUGGGCAAUGGAGGAAACUCUGACCCCCCGACGCCCCGUGAGGGAUGAAGGCCUUCGGGUUGUAAACCUCUUUCAGUAGGGAAGAAGCGAAAGUGACGGUACCUACUGAAGAAGCACCGGCUAACUAUGUGCCACCAGCCGCGGCAAUACAUAGGGUGCAAGCGUUGUCCGGAAUUAUUGGGCGUAAAGAGCUCGUAGGUGGU